rnacentral:pre_miRNA from 15 species
CCUCCAUAUCUCAAUCUCUUUGGUUGUACAAAGUGGUAUGGCUCAUCGAAUAAGCACAUACUGCUUUUCAGCUAAAGGAAUUGAGAUUUUGUAGGCUUUUUC